AUUGAACGCUGGCGGCAGGCCUAACACAUGCAAGUCGAGCGGAUCGGCUUUCGGGUGCGUAAUUCCUAGUAAUCUGCCUGGUAGUUGUGGCUACCGUCCGGAAACGGGCGCUACUACCGCAUCCUAUCCGAUGAGCCUAGUGCGGAUUGGCUAGUUGGUGGGGUAAAGGCCUACCAAGGCGACGAUCCGUAACUGGUCUGAGAGGAUGAUCAGUCACACUGGAACUGAGACACGGUCCAGACUCCUACGGGAGGCAGCAGUGGGUAUUAUUGGACAAUGGGCGAAAGCCUGAUCCAGCCAUGCCGCGUGUGUGAAGAAGGUCUUCGGAUUGUAAAGCACUUUAAGUUGGGAGGCGUGAGCAACAGAAUAAGAACCGGCUAACUCCGUGCCAGCAGCCGCGGUAAUAG
rnacentral:rRNA from 1 species